rnacentral:rRNA from 1 species
AGUGAACGCUGGCGGUAGGCCUAACACAUGCAAGUCGAACGGCAGCACAGUAAGAGCUUGCUCUUACGGGUGGCGGGUGGCGGACGGGUGAGGAAUACAUCGGAAUCUACUUUUUCGUGGGGGAUAACGUAGGUAAACUUACGCUAAUACCGCAUACGACCUACGGGUGAAAGCAGGGGAUCUUCGGACCUUGCGCGAUUGAAUGAGCCGAUGUCGGAUUAGCUAGUUGGCGGGGUAAAGGCCCACCAAGGCGACGAUCCGUAGCUGGUCUGAGAGGAUGAUCAGCCACACUGGAACUGAGACACGGUCCAGACUCCUACGGGAGGCAGCAGUGGGGAAUAUUGGACAACGGGCGCAAGCCUGAUCCAGCCAUACCGCGUGGGUGAAGAAGGCCUUCGGGUUGUAAAGCCCUUUUGUUGGGAAAGAAAAGCAGCAGGUUAAUACCCCGCUGUUCUGACGGUACCCAAAGAAUAAGCACCGGCUAACUUCGUG